CACGCCGUAAACGAUGUCAACUAGCCGUUGGGAGUCUUGAACUCUUAGUGGCGCAGCUAACGCAUUAAGUUGACCGCCUGGGGAGUACGGCCGCAAGGUUAAAACUCAAAUGAAUUGACGGGGGCCCGCACAAGCGGUGGAGCAUGUGGUUUAAUUCGAAGCAACGCGAAGAACCUUACCAGGCCUUGACAUCCAAUGAACUUUCUAGAGAUAGAUUGGUGCCUUCGGGAGCAUUGAGACAGGUGC
rnacentral:rRNA from 1 species